UACGAAGGGGGCUAGCGUUGCUCGGAAUCACUGGGCGUAAAGGGUGCGUAGGCGGGUCUUUAAGUCAGGGGUGAAAUCCUGGAGCUCAACUCCAGAACUGCCUUUGAUACUGAAGAUCUUGAGUUCGGGAGAGGUGAGUGGAACUGCGAGUGUAGAGGUGAAAUUCGUAGAUAUUCGCAAGAACACCAGUGGCGAAGGCGGCUCACUGGCCCGAUACUGACGCUGAGGCACGAAAGCGUGGGGAGCGAACCGG
rnacentral:rRNA from 1 species